rnacentral:misc_RNA from 1 species
UCUCCGUUGGUGAACCAGCGGAGGGAUCAUUACAGGACUCGCAAGACUCCCGUAAACCACUGUGAACCUACCAUUGUUGCCUCGGCGGGUGCUCGAGUCUAGCGCUCAGCCCGCCGGUGGCCCCUUACUCUUUGCCUCUCGCGUUGUCUCUCCGAGUAUCGCAGAAUGCAUAAAAACUUUCAACAACGGAUCUCUUGGUUCUGGCAUCGAUGAAGAACGCAGC